rnacentral:rRNA from 1 species
UACGUAGGGAGCAAGCGUUGUCCGGAAUCAUUGGGCGUAAAGCGCGCGUAGGUGGCCACAUAAGUCCGUUGUGAAAGUCAAAGGCUCAACCUUUGAAAGCCGAUGGAUACUGUGUGGCUAGAGUACGGAAGAGGCGAGUGGAACUCCGGGUGUAGCGGUGAAAUGCGUAGAUAUCCGGAAGAACACCGAUGGCGAAGGCAACCACCUGGGCCUGCAUUGACGCUGAGGUACGAAAGCGUGGGGAGCAAACAGG